rnacentral:sRNA from 1 species
GGUUGUAGGAUGCCUUUGUGUAUGCAGUGGCUCUAGGUGACUGGCAGCCACACUCUGGGCCCUAAACUUCUGGAGGAAGAUACAGGAUAGGGAGGAACUCAGGGGUGAGUCAUGGUGGGGACAAGACAUUCCCUCACUCUAAGACCUUGUCACUAGAUUGGAACGUCUCUUGCCUCCCUACACCUGACCUGAUGGUUCUGGAGAGAUACGUCCUUGCAGCUUCUGAGUCCCAGCACUAAGCAGCCUUCGGUAACUUCCCUACAUCAUUUGAGUUCUGGUUUCCUAAGGAUGCUUGCCAGUGAGUGCCAUGGUGCCCUCAUUGCACAGUCUGUGCAGUGUAGACAAGAGGGGAAGUCUCUUGGGGUAGACCAGCCGCAAGGCGGUGACUAGCACUGAUGUGAACCACAUGGGACAGGGGAGUUGUGGGGCUGAGAACACGGAGGGUGGGAGUAGUCAUGCUCUUUUCCAGAAUGAACUGCUAACGAAGGGACUCGCAGGUGGCUGCUGCUUCUUUCCAAGCUGCCCCUGUUGUUGCAGAGGCUCUGGAGUCCUAGGAGGUUUCACGGUGGCAUACUCGACAGAGUACUAGAGCAUCAUGGCCAGAUACUGAUGCUGGGGCAUGGGGCCUCACGGUGGCCAUUUCUGACGAGACCUCACCAGGCCAAAGUGAUGUGUAGAGAAGGAGCUGCUUCGGUCACCAGAAAAGAAUGGGGAAGCCUCCCACACUAGAAUAGGGAAGAAAAGUCAGAAGACCAGGACCUCCAGGGCCUCAAGGACAAACCCCUCAAGUUUAAAAAGGUGAAGAAAGAUAAGAAAGAAGAGAAAGAGGGCAA